UUUUUUUUUUUUUUUUUUUUUUUUUUUUUUUUUUUUUUUUUUUUUUUUUUUUUUUUUUGAGCACUUUCAUCAAACAGUUGGUGUGCUUGUGGCAUUUCUAUGGAGAAAGCCAAAUUCAAGCUUCUGUUCUCAUGCCCUUCUGGUCUCUCACCUUCUCAGGUAUCCGUUGAUUUUGAUCAAUCAUACGAUAGAAUUCCCCAUCCUGAUGUCGAAUUAGAAAACUCCAUUGCUAAGAUAUGGGAUCAAAGGGCACAGAAGAAUUCAUCAUUGUACAAUGGAAAAAAAUUCCGGUAUGGAGGGUAUAAUGUCCUUAGUGGGGGUGGAUCAAAUCAAGAUUCUCAUAUAUGCCUCCACCUUGGUUUGACAGAUUAUAGGACUUUUGUUGGGACAAACUUAAAUCCUUUGUGGGAAAAGUUCCUUGUUCCAUCAGAAGAUGACCAUAUACAUUGUCAACAUAUGUCAAGCCCUCUCGGUAAUGGUGCAGUUGUAGAGACAUCUGACAAGAAAAUAGUUGUGUUGCAAAGAAGUUCUAAUGUUGGGGAAUUUCCUGGGCAUUUCGUUUUUCCUGGAGGCCAUCCAGAGCCUGAGGAAGUUGGAAUAACUUGUCAUCAGAGCAGCAAAGAUCUUACAGACUCUAAGAUGAUUAGCAGUAAGGUUUCACAAGAAAUGUUUGACAGUAUUAUUCGCGAAGUGGUCGAGGAAAUUGGAGUACCAGCAACAUCUCUUUGCAAUGUACGUUUUAUUGGUAUAUCCUGUCGAGUGUUAAAUGUUAGACCUGCUGCCUUUUUCUCCAUCAGAUGCCACCUUGGAUCAGAAGAAAUUCAUCAACUGUAUCACAAUGCUCAAGAUGGCUAUGAAUCGACCCAACUUUUUACAGUUUCAUUGAUUGAUUUAGAAAACAUGGCAUCUAAAAUGCCUGGCUGCCAUCAAGGUGGAUUUGCUCUCUAUAAGCUGAUGGUGGAAGCUCUGAAGGAUACCUGAAUACUCAACACUGCUGAACAAUUGUUAGUCUGCAGCACCAUCAGUAUGCUUUAGUCUUGGCUUACAUGCACAAACAUGAUAAUGAACUGGUAUGGAAUGGAGCAGAAAGUAGAAACUCAUUUCUUUUGAAUUCUGGCUUUUGUGGAACCCACUUUCUUGGUUGUGAGGAUAUUAGCUUUCCAUUUUAUUGAAGUUAGAAUCUGAGUUCAUAUCAAAAUGCUAUUUUUGUAUUUUUAGUUUGGUUGAGUUGGUGAUUAUCUUUGGUUUCAAAAUGAGAAAAGGACUAGUAUCAUUUUAUUUGC